AAGAUCCCAAAAGAAUAUAUCAUUCUUGCUAUGGAUCUGGAGAUUGCUAAACCCUAUACCCAUGGGGACGUGUAGCGUUUGAUUUUCUAGUGCAGAGUAUCAAGAUAGUUCGUGUGAAGUCGACGCAAUCUACAGGGUAUGCACUGAAUGGCUUCACAAUAGUUUUCAAAUCUGGAUCAUGGAGGCAAUUCCCGCUCUCGGAUAUAUGUUGUCUUCUAGAUUGGACGCUGUGAUCGCCGGUGUUCCUAGAUGCUGUAAGUGGGACGGCAUUAGCUAUGUGAAAAUUUCAGAUAUUAAGCAUAUCGAAAAUACGUUUUGCACGAAGGAGAAGCUCUAUCACUAUAUCUCUUCCACUGGGAAUGAUGAUGUCGUUGAUUCUUUGGACUUCGUAUGGCAUGAUGAAAUGGCUGACACAAGAGUGGAUCGUCUUAAAACGAUGAUCAACGAUGGAAUGGAUUGAGUCACCAUAAAUGGGAGGUAGAAUAAGCAUUAUCUGCAACUCUUGACGAGAAUGAGGAAGCAACAGAUGAAGAGAAUGAGAAUGUCGCAGAAGAAAGCGAAUUUAGGACACCACCUGCCGUAGGUAGCUCAGUUGCAGGUUCAAGUCGAGGAAAGAAAAGGGUCGCUGAAUCUGGAGCAGAAUCACGGAAGCAGAAGUUGAUGUGUGAUCGAUCAGCUGCGAAAGCCAUCGAUGAGGACUUUAAGUCUUUUAUUCAAGGACUUUUGCAGACUUCGUUCAAAGCUUUGGAGGAGAGAAUUGAGACCAAGAUUGAUAGCCAAGUCGAGCUUUUGGAUAAGAAAAUAGAAAAGCUAAAGGAGAUGCUUUAGAAGAAGCUUAUGGAACCCAUCCAAACAGGUGGAUUCACUACUGCUACUCCCAGCUCAGCAAAAUCACAUCCUGCGAUUGGGAAGGUGUAGACGAGUGGGCAUAGACACACGAAGACUUAUUAGUUGGUAUCAUCUCAUGAAUAAACGACAGUGGUUGCACACGCC